rnacentral:rRNA from 1 species
UGCGUAGGCGGAUUAAUAAGUCAGUGGGGAAAACCUGCAGCUUAACUGCAGACCUGCCAUUGAUACUGUUAGUCUUGAGUACGGUCAAGGUAGGCGGAAUGUGUAAUGUAGCGGUGAAAUGCUUAGAUAUUACACAGAACACCGAUUGCGAAGGCAGCUUACUGGGCCAUUACUGACGCUGAGGCACGAAAGCGUGGGGAGCGAACAGGAUUAGAUACCCUGGUAGUCC